AUUGAACGCUGGCGGCAGGCCUAACACAUGCAAGUCGAACGAGUGGCGGACGGGCGAGUAAUGUCUGGGAAACUGCAUGACGGAGGGGGAUAACUCCUGGAAACGGUAGCUAAUACAGAAUACCAUCGGAUGUGCCCAGAUGGGAUUAGCUAGUAGGUGGGGUAAAGGCUCACCUAGGCGACGAUCCCUAGCUGGUCUGAGAGGAUGACCAGCCACACUGGAACUGAGACACGGUCGAGACUCCUACGUGAGGCAGCAGUGGGGAAUAUUGCACAAUGGGCUCAAGCCUGAGGCAGCCAUGCCGCGGGUAUGAAGAAGGCCUUCGGGUUGUAAAGUACUUUCAGCGGGGAGGCGUUACCCGCAGAAGAAGCGCCGGCUAACUCCGUGCCAGCAGCCGCGGUAAUUC
rnacentral:rRNA from 1 species